rnacentral:rRNA from 1 species
UACGUAGGGUGCAAGCGUUGUCCGGAAUUAUUGGGCGUAAAGAGCUUGUAGGCGGUUUGUCGCGUCUGCUGUGAAAUUUCGGGGCUCAACCCCGAACUUGCAGUGGGUACGGGCAGACUAGAGUGUGGUAGGGGAGACUGGAAUUCCUGGUGUAGCGGUGAAAUGCGCAGAUAUCAGGAGGAACACCGAUGGCAAAGGCAGGUCUCUGGGCCAUAACUGACGCUGAGAAGCGAAAGCAUGGGGAGCGAACAGG